AGUGAACGCUGGCGGUAGGCCUAACACAUGCAAGUCGAACGGCAGCACAGUAAGAGCUUGCUCUUACGGGUGGCGAGUGGCGGACGGGUGAGGAAUACAUCGGAAUCUACUUUUUCAUGGGGGAUAACGUAGGGAAACUUACGCUAAUACCGCAUACGACCUACGGGUGAAAGCAGGGGAUCUUCGGACCUUGCGCGAUUGAAUGAGCCGAUGUCGGAUUAGCUAGUUGGCGGGGUAAAGGCCCACCAAGGCGACGAUCCGUAGCUGGUCUGAGAGGAUGAUCAGGCACACUGGAACUGAGACACGGUCCAGACUCCUACGGGAGGCAGCAGUGGGGAAUAUUGGACAAUGGGCGCAAGCCUGAUCCAGCCAUACCGCGUGGGUGAAGAAGGCCUUCGGGUUGUAAAGCCCUUUUGUUGGGAAAGAAAAGCAGCAGGUUAAUACCCCGCUGUUCUGACGGUACCCAAAGAAUAAGCACCGGCUAACUUCGUG
rnacentral:rRNA from 1 species